GCUUCAAACUGAUCCAGCCAUUUCUUCUUCAGCUCUCUGGUCUUUAAGAAGAAUUCAAAGCCGGUGUGGCCCUGCUGGUGCGUCACGUAGAAGCUGUAACACCACUGAAGGAGAAAAAACACCGAAAUGAUGAGGUCCAGGACUGCGAUGGCAAUCUCCACCCGGCUGCAGUAGAUGCUGUAGAUGAGAAGUCUGCGAGACACGGGAUGGAGUCUUGAACGUCCACCAUCAGGCUCUUGUGAACCUUCACCAAGUCCUACAAUGAAAUAUGAAGGCAAUUAGAUGCCCGCGGAGAAAAACCUCUUCAGAGGGUUGAGGAAAUACUGCGAGAAGUCACAAAGAAAGUGCAACAUGAAAACAAAAGUAGUCACAACCUGGCACAUUAGUCAAUCAAUAUCAAUGUUAAUGCAGAUUCAUACUGCAGCACCACUGCCUUGCAAAUUAGGGUAAAGUGCAUAGAGAUGGCUGUGGAAUUCAGUACACCCGAAAUCCAUCGGUACUAAGUACCAAUUUACAUCAAAUCAAACAGUGCCAUAUUUCCAUACCUUUGUUGCACAUAAAUUCAUGCCCAGUGGCAGAGUUGGUACCGACUCAAGCACUUGGCGGGCGAACAGGCGUACAGUAUUUGUAGAGGACUGCCUCUAGGUAAUGUUGCAAAUUUUACAUGCACUGUAAAAAAGGACCGUUAAAAACUACUGCAAGCAAUUGGUAAAUAGCCAGAGUAAAACACCAUGAAAUCAAAAAUAGUUUAUCAUAGCAGUAAAUGCAGUAGAUAUGCUAAAUUACUAUGGUAAUAAUUCAUAAUUUAUCAUUCAUUUACUGUGAAAAUAAUGAUAAAUUGUUAAAAGCAUUUGCAAAUACUGUAAUGUCACAAGCAUGCAAACACUCUCAAAUGUACGGCAUUAUUCUGUCUAAAUUAAAGAUUUAAAGCAGGGGUCCCCAAACUACGGCUGGAUCCGGCCCGCCAAGUCCCAAGUUUAAAAAAUAAAAUAAAAUAACAUACAAUAAAAUCUUUUUUUUUUUUUUUAAACCUGUCCUUUCUAAUCCAUUUUCUACCGCUUGUUACUCUCUGUGUCUCCUAGAUGCUCAGGCAAGUCAUAUUGUCUAAAAAUGUAUUUUCCCAUCGAUAACAUGACAUCGUCGGCAAAGUGCGCGUUCUUUCAGUCAAUUAGUGCGCGAGGAAUAUAUAUAUAUAUACAUAUACAUACAUAUACACAUUUUUUUUUAACACAAUGCGGCCCCCAAGUCAAAAAGUUUGAGGACCCCUGAUUUAAAGAUUACAUUUAAAUUUACAGCAUAGGACUGUUAACCAUUCAGCAAAAUCCUAUACAAAAAUAAGAAGUUAAAUAUAUGGUAUUUUUUAUUGUAUAACAAUGUUGUUUUCAAGGAAAAACAUACUUAAUGUAAGUGUAACUA